GUGGGGAAUAUUGGGCAAUGGGCGAAAGCCUGACCCAGCAACGCCGCGUGAAGGAAGAAGGUCUUCGGAUCGUAAACUUCUAUCCUUGGUGAAGAUAAUGACGGUAGCCGAGAAGGAAGCCCCUGCUAACUACGUGCCAGCAGCCGCGGUAAUACGUAGGGGGCAAGCGUUGUCCGGAAUGAUUGGGCGUAAAGGGCGCGUAGGCGGCCUGGUAAGUCUGGAGUGAAAGUCCUGCUUUUCAGGUGGGAAUUGCUUUGGAUACUGUCGGGCUUGAGUGCAGGAGAGGUAAGUGGAAUUCCCGGUGUAGCGGUGAAAUGCGUAGAGAUCGGGAGGAACACCAGUGGCGAAGGCGACUUACUGGACUGUAACUGACGCUGAGGCGCGAAAGUGUGGGGAGCAAACAGGAUUAGAAACCCCUGUAGUCC
rnacentral:rRNA from 1 species